rnacentral:rRNA from 1 species
UACCCGAGGCCCAAGUGAUGGCCCCUAUUAUUUGGUCUAAAGCGCCCGUAGCCGGAUCGAUUAGUUCUUGGUGAAAUCUUCCAGCAGACUGGAAGGCGUGCUGAGAAUACUAUCGGUCUUGAGACCGGGAGAGGAUGGAGGUACUUACGGGGGAGGGGUUAAAUCCUGUAAUCCCGUAGGGACAACCUGUGGCGAAGGCGUCCAUCUGGAACGGGUCUGACGGUGAGGGACGAAAGCGUGGGUAG